UACCAGACUCCUACGGGAGGCAGCAGUGGGGGAUAUUGCACAAUGGGGGAAACCCUGAUGCAGCGACGCCGCGUGAGUGAAGAAGUACUUCGUUACGUAAAGCUCUAUUAGCAGGGAAGAAAAUGACGGUACCUGACUAAGAAGCCCCGGCUAACUACGUGCCAGCAGCCGCGGUAAUACGUAGGGGGCAAGCGUUAUCCGGAUUUACUGGGUGUAAAGGGGGCGCAGACGGCAGCGCAAGCCAGGAGUGAAAGCCCGGGGCCCAACCCCGGGACUGCUCUUGGAACUGCGCGGCUGGAGUGCAGGAGGGGCAGGCGGAAUUCCUGGUGUAGCGGUGAAAUGCGUAGAUAUCAGGAGGAACACCGGUGGCGAAGGCGGCCUGCUGGACUGCGACUGACGUUGAGGCCCGAAAGCGUGGGGAGCAAACAGGAUUAGAUACCCCGGUAA
rnacentral:rRNA from 1 species